AGCCACAGUUGACUAAGCUGACCAUAGGAGCAUCUUUGGAAUCUCCUAGGUUCUGGAUGUGCUGACUGCUGAAUUGAUAAGCUGGAGCAGCAGGGACUGAAGAAGUGUUGGGUAGAGGGAGGCUGGGUGCCUGUUCCUCAUCUUUAACCUCUCUUUCACAACAAAGAGCCCAACCUUGAUGCUCUGCCGUGUCCUCAGUGAGAUCAGAACUUCCUCAGACUGAGUUUCUGUACAACCAGAGGAUGUCCCCCUGGACAAGGGACAGAAGAAAGAA
ensembl:lncRNA